UACGAUUCUUUAAACAUCCAACCAAAUACGAAUAUGGAGGAAGAAAAAGAUGGUCAUCCCUUGUCAUCAGCAGGUCCCUUUCCCGUGUGUUCCCCUGUUCCCUCCCUUCAGAACUGUGCGCUAUUUCUUUUGCCCAGAGCUGUCAAAUGGUCACCAUGCGGGGCUGACUUCAUGUUCUUCCUCUCUCAAGUAAAUGCCUGCCAAACCAUGUUCCAUAAAACAUGGACCUGUUAAAUGCCAGCCACUACCACCACCACAACAACAACAAAGGAAAGAGAUGGAAUUUGUGAGAGAAUAGUUUGGGAAAAUAUGGGGCUAAAUUACUACAGAACUGCCACGGGUGUUUAAUGUAUUGUGUUUUUUGGGGGGGGGGGUUGUUUUGUUUUGUUUUUGUUUUUAAUGAACCUCUAAGAGAUUAUAGGCAGCAUUCCUCUGGCUUGCCUGUGGACCCUAAAUCCAUUCAUGCAGUAUCUCAGGCUAUGAACAGAGAAUGUCAGUCUCUUUGGGGGGUAAAAAAAAAAAAAAAAAAGCUUCUGUCAUUGUCAUUGUCAUCUGCUCUCUACCAGAAUAAACCUGAGAGUCUGAUUCAUUCUGAAUAUGCAUGAGGUCACAAUGCCACAGUGGUGCUUUUGUAAUGGUGUCUUAGGGGGAGGGAGCCUAUAGAGCUCCUUUUACUGAUAUUACAGAGGAGUACUUUGACAAAUUGUAAGUAAAAAUGCUAGGAUGCAUUGUGCUGCCUACUUAAACCCUGUAGCAAUCUAACUGUCAGAAGGUAAUAUCUGCCUCUUCUUUUCUAUCUCACACACAGACACUCACACACUCAGAGAUAAUUGGAACAAGUCUCCUAGGUGACUCACUGCAAGCCCAGCACUCGAAGAGUCCAGCUACCAGCUGACAUAGGCUCUGGCUGAGUGGACAUGGAAAGGCAUCGCAUGUCAGAAUAAGAGACGAUUGUAAACACUUCCCUGUGCCACUACUGAGAAAGUGUGCAUUCUGCUUAGAGUCAAUCAAGGACAGACAGAUUGCUUUUGUUUGGUUUUCCAUGUCCCUGCAUAUCUUAAGUCCUAUGGAUGUAAAAACAGCACAAAGCAACAAAUAAAAUAAUUCAGCGGCUUACGGAGGUUUGGGAGAACACAUAUCCAUCAGGGUUCGUGACAGGCAGCAGGAAGACAUCCAGAGUAUUGAGAAGAGAAGUGAUGGCUGGAUCAGUCCCAUAAUCAGACGCAAUCUGAGAGGAGACACAAGCUUUCAGUCUUACCAGCUGCUUGGCCCAGAAGAAUCUCAUCAGAGCCUCCAUCAAAACGGGACCGCAACGCUCCCAUGGCGCUCUCCAGCCCUUCAGUUGUCUAAUCUAAGUGACUGGGUUAUUUGGAACAGUGGCCUUGCCAAUUGGAUCACUAAAUAGGAAGGAAAGAUUAUUUUUGCACCAUCAACUUCUACCUUUGUGCAACAACCGAAGCACGGCAGAUAAGGCAUCCUCACGGACUGAAGACCCGUGUGGAACCCACAGGUCCCUUUCCUGGCAGAGCAGGAGGAGGACCAGCAGGCCUCUCUGCAAGGCUGCCUUCUGGAAACUUACUUGAACAUCUUCGAUCAUGAUGGAAUAAGUAAUCCCCUGGGACUCCAGGAAAACUUUGACGUCCUGGAUGCUGGCAAAAGGAACUCGGACAUGGACUGUCUGCCUGGGGACGCUGGGGGAUUUCCAAAAAUCAAGCUGAAAGGAAUAAAGAUUCAAGCCAAAAAAAAAAAUGAUGGAAUCACUCUGGGAGAAACAGAUAGCUGUGUACUGAUGGAUUUCAAUAAUGCAACUGGCUGCCUAGUUGAUUUUGAGUCUACAAAACCAGAAUCAUUCCAGAACCACUGGGAUACAGCAACAAGAGAUUCUGUGUACCCAAGGGUCAGCAAAUAUGUUGUUUUCAGCACACACACACAUACACACACCAUGACCAGAUAUUAAAAUUGGCAGAGAAAGAGAUGAAUUUAAGUUAUGGGAGGUCUUAAAAAAAUAAAAUCAAUCUGGCACUCAAGAGGUCCAAUUCAUUUCAUCAUGGGGUAUUAAUGCCAUAAAUAAUUUUAAGGGGGAAAUAAUGAGUUAAAGGUGUUCAGCUUUCACAGUUUCCAUCCUCCUCCCCCCACCCACUCAAGUCUUGCAGUAGUCCUGCGAGAUAUGAAGAAUGAUAUAUUUUUCCUCAGUUUUCUGAUUGUGAAAAUGAAUCACCGGGAAAGAAGGCCAUUUGCUCGGGGCUGUAGAGUUGGAGCUAAAGUCCAGGUUCUAGGAGUCGGCAUCCCACAUUACCUCCAAGGAGUCAAACUACAGACCCGAAGUAGCUGCCAAUCGCGCCGACUUUAUUUACUGAAGAGAGAAAAUGCUGAUGGGAUGACCAAUACCUCAAGG